AGUGUAAUUUCUGGGUCAUAUGGUAACUCUAUGUUUAAUUAUUUGAGGAACUGCCAGAAUGUUUUCCAAAGUGACUGCACCAUUUUACAUUCCCAUCAGCAGU
rnacentral:pre_miRNA from 1 species